GCCUACGAGGCGCAGCAGUAGGGAAUCUUCCCCAAUGGACGAAAGUCUGAUGGAGCAACGCCGCGUGAGUGAAGAAGGGUUUCUGCUCGUAAAGCUCUGUUGGUAGUGAAGAAAGAUAGAGGUAGUAACUGGCCUUUAUUUGACGGUAAUUACUUAGAAAGUCACGGCUAACUACGUGCCAGCAGCCGCGGUAAUACGUAGGUGGCAAGCGUUGUCCGGAUUUAUUGGGCGUAAAGCGAGUGCAGGCGGUUCAAUAAGUCUGAUGUGAAAGCCUUCGGCCCAACCGGUGAAUUUCAUCAGAAACU
rnacentral:rRNA from 1 species